rnacentral:rRNA from 1 species
AUGGACAGCUGCAAUGGUCUCCUCCUCUGUCGCUGCUGGAAGAGCACUGAUGGCAAGAUGAUAGAUUACGUGGUGUGCAAUCCGGCCACUGAAAAAUGGGUGGUCGUGCCUGCCACCAACUGGUCCAGCAAGCUGUGGGCCAUUCGCUUGGGGUUCGAUCCGGCCGUCUCAUCCCACUUCCAUGUUUUUGAGUUCGUAGAUGCUUUUGUCUUGGAUGCAGCUGACCGUCGUAGACACAUUAAAGUGGUGGGGGUCUACUCUUCCAAAGCUGGAGUUUGGACACAUGAAAGUACUGGGAACCAUCUAGUUGAUAUAUGCAUCUUUUCACCCAGCGUAUUUUUUGGCGGAGUGAUGUAUUUAUCUUCUUAUAAUGAUUUGGUUAUAGCACUCGACAUGGAGGGAAAAUGUAAGGUCAUUCGUACUCCUGCACCACGCGAUGGUUGCGGUGCUUAUGAUAUUUCUCAAUCACAGGGGCGGUUGUAUUUGGCAAAUCAUGGUGAUUCUGAAGUAUCAAUCUGGGCUCUUGAUGAUUCUAGUACAGGAAACUGGACCUUGAAGAACAAGGUCAGCCACUUGCAACUGUUCGAAAAAGAGUAUCUAUCAAUGCAUGAUUACAAUGUUAUCAUACACCCGGAAGACAAUGGCAUUAUAGUACUAUGUACACAAUUGCACAUCGGGGGCCAAUCAUUGACAAAAGUUUUGUCAUACAAUGUGGAUUCUAGGGAGCAGCAUUUUAUGACAGAUCUUGGAUGGUAUUGCAGGAUUCCUUAUCUUUCAUAUGUUCCUUUGUUCUCAGAGUCACUGGCAGAUGCGCACUAG